CUGGAAUCUUUUUGCUGUUGACUGAACAGAUAAGGAGAGAUGGCCCUUUCACGAUAAAAUCCUGCUCAUGAAAACAAGGCUUUCUGAUUUGUGUGGAAAAAAGUAGGGUUGCAGUACGCACUCGCUGACCGAAUAGCUGUGCGGUGAUAUGCGAUGAUGUGAUCAGGGACAUCCAGCGGGUGCCCGCCGUGGGAAGAGGCGAUGCUCAUCCGCCCCUCAUGAUAAAGAAUGGCUGGAGCAACCGCGUUUCAGAAGGUUUGCAGCAGAUCAACAUGGAUCCUCUAUAAAUACCGCUCCCACUCUGUCUUCCACAAGGCAGGGCACAAUGAAAGGAAAGAUCUGGCUGAGUGGUAAACAAUGCAGAGCCUCCCAGGUCAUACCCAGCUCACAAAAGACAAGAGGGACUGUCCCAGUGCAUAGCUGGCCAAAUGCCCCACACAAUCAGACCACACAAUGCAGUAAUCAACCCAAAUGAACAUAAAGAUAAAUUCAUCAUAUCUAUUCAAAGAUGCCACUGUGUAUAAAGUACACCGCAGUGCUCAAGGGGGAUCAGGUGCAAACGAAUGGAAGUUAAAAGUAUUUGGAUAUGUUAUAUCAUCGACACUUUUGCCCCAGAAGAUUUCAACACAAAUGUCUUUAUGUGAGCUUUAACAAACUUCAUUUUACAGCAAGAAAAGACCUAAACACAAAAAUAAAGGUUCUUUUA